rnacentral:rRNA from 1 species
UACGUAGGGGGCAAGCGUUGUCCGGAAUCAUUGGGCGUAAAGAGCGUGUAGGCGGCUUGGUAAGUCCGCUGUGAAAGUCCAGGGCUCAACCCUGGAAUGCCGGUGGAAACUGUCAGGCUCGAGUCCGGAAGAGGCGAGUGGAAUUCCUGGUGGAGCGGUGAAAUGCGUUGAUAUCAUCAGGAACACCGGUGGUGUAGACGGCUUUCUGGACCGUAACUGACGCUGAGACACGAAAGCGUGGGUAGCAAACAGG